rnacentral:rRNA from 1 species
GAUGAACGCUGGCGGCGUGCCUAAUACAUGCAAGUCGAGCGAACGGACGAGAAGCUUGCUUCUCUGAUGUUAGCGGCGGACGGGUGAGUAACACGUGGAUAACCUACCUAUAAGACUGGGAUAACUUCGGGAAACCGGAGCUUAUACCGGAUAAUCUUUUGAACCGCAUGGUUCAAAAGUGAAAGACGGUCUUGCUGUCACUUAUAGAUGGAUCCGCGCUGCAUUAGCUAGUUGGUAAGGUAACGGCUUACCAAGGCAACGAUGCAUAGCCGACCUGAGAGGGUGAUAGGCCACACUGGAACUGAGACACGGUCCAGACUCCUACGGGAGGCAGCAGUAGGGAAUCUUCCGCAAUGGGCGAAAGCCUGACGGAGCAACGCCGCGUGAGUGAUGAAGGUCUUCGGAUCGUAAAACUCUGUUAUUAGGGAAGAACAGAUGUGUAAGUAACUGUGCACAUCUUGACGGUACCUAAUCAGAAAGCCACGGCUAACUACGUG